UACGGGGGGGGCAAGCGUUGUUCGGAAUUACUGGGCGUAAAGGGCCCGUAGGUGGCCAACUAAGUCAGACGUGAAAUCCCUCGGCUUAACCGGGGAACUGCGUCUGAUACUGGAUGGCUUGAGGUUGGGAGAGGGAUGCGGAAUUCCAGGUGUAGCGGUGAAAUGCGUAGAUAUCUGGAGGAACACCGGUGGCGAAGGCGGCAUCCUGGACCAAUUCUGACGCUGAGGAGCGAAAGCCAGGGGAGCAAACGGG
rnacentral:rRNA from 1 species